UGAAACCAAAAUAUAGCACCUGUUAUAUAUAAAUAUUUAUACAUAUAAUAAAUUAUAAUAACACUAAAAUUUAAAUACAUCAUAAAAUGAAACUAUUAAUAAUACAUAAUUAUCCAUCAAGCAAAUAAUAUCCAUAAAGCAAAUGUUCAACCCCAUGAGUGCAUAAGUUUAGUACAUUUCAAGAGAGUAAAUAAGUUUCAAAAAUGUUGGUAACAAAAGAUUCCUAGAACAUUCAUCUAUAACAAUUCAAAAUUCAUCUCAAGUAAGGUCUAGUUCUUCAUCGUCUAUUUCUUGAACUACUCCACCUACAAAAGAGGAUAAAUAAAGUUAUUACCCUUCAAGAAAAUCCGGUCUAAGAAUACUCAAGAAUUUAACUGUUUUCGUUCUUCUUUUAUUAAUUCAACUUAUUCAUCUCAACAAACUAUACACAACAUUAUAACAAUCUGAUAUUAUUAACAAGGACCAAGACUUUCAAACUAUCAAGCUAUGAUGGCAAAGUUAAGAAUAAUGCAUAAGAAGAAUCACAAACAUAAUUACAAAACCAGCAUGAAACAUCAACUAUCUUAAGCAUCUCUGUCAACAAAACCACACACGUAACGGUAGCACAGACCAUUAAAUUACCUAGUCACUUACGGUAACAAGUUGCACUUGAGACACCAGUUGUCCCAGAAAUUACAAGUUUCCAACCAUUAAGCCACCAUUCUUACAUCCCAAGUUCUGUGUGCUUCUAUACGUUUCAAGUGCUUACUUUGAUAAAAAUCUGUAAGUUUGGUUAAGUAAGUAGGUUUUUCUGGUGCUUAACCCCAAUGCUGAAUCAUGGAAUGAUGUAUAUCUUGAACUAAAACCUUCUACAAUAUCUUGUCUAAUAAGUUGAAAUUUUCAACCAGCUGCAUAUCACAAUGUACAGUUGAAGUGUAAAAGAGUAUAUUUUCUUACAUUUAAUCAGUAAGGAACAUGCCUAGCUGCUCAGAGAACAUGAACAUGUUUCUGUUUAUUAUUCAGUUUCUCUGCAUAGCCCUUUGAAAUUAUAUCCAGCUUUCUGCUAGUCUGCAUAUUAAUUUCUUAUCGAUAAUGUUGAAACAAGGGAUGAGAAAGGGAGAGUCAGAAAUUUUAUGUGGAAAGUGCCACUCACUGCACCGCCUAUAUGUUCUUUUUCGCAAAAAUAAUCUCAUAGAAUUGAACCUUCUUAACUUGCAUAACGGUCAACAAAAUACAAGCGUUAUACUACAUCUCGGGUUGAAAAUUGAAACAGUUGUACAUAAUGGUGAGUUGGUGGCUUUAUCAAUUUACUAAUGCCUUAUACGGUUGACAAACAAUGAGCUAAUCUAAACUGAGCAAAUUUUAUAUUAUGAUUUUUGCAGCAAACAAUAAGCAGCAAAGCUUAAAAGAAUGUCAUCACACAAAGCAAACACAUUAGUUGCUGGUAUAUUUACAAGCUUAUCCCAACAAUUAUUAUAUCAAUUAUCAAUGGUGUGUAACCAAUAGUCUAAAUUCAGACACACUUAAAAGAAUGUCAUCACACAAAGAUAGAAACCCCACCCAACCUAACCCCAAAUUCCAAGUUGUGUUAAGGUCAUGGUAAGCAAAUACAAAGGGAAAGCUAGCAAAGCAGUUAUGAGGCUAUCAUUGAAUUGCAGUAAUUUAUCAGUUUGAUUAUACAAACAACCACCUCACCCCACCCCCCACCCACCCCAAAAACCCUCUUUCAGGAAAAGCCAACUUUCUCUUUAUCCAGUAUACCUUUUUUUCCUCGUAAGAUUUUGCAUAUGGUAGAAAUUUCCUAUUAAUAAGUGAAUAAACAAAGUGAUAUACUUAUCUCAAGGGACUCUGAGUUGUAAAAGAAAUGUCAAGUUCACGCACAAAAUGCUCCACCUAGCAGGGGCACCUACACCAGAGAGUUGCACUCAUAAGUCAUAAGCAGCUAAGAGCCAACAAGAGGGAAAAGACAAUAAAUGAUUGGAAAAAAAACACUAAAAUGAAAUUUACGAUUCUAAGAAGUUAGUAAUGUGACUGUAGUGAGGUAAUAAAUUGUUUGGUUGUUGAUAAAGGAUGAUAAAUUGUUUGAUCAUUAAUAAAGGGCCAUGAAAUGUUUAAUUCUUCCUAUUUCUUUAACACUAGUAGCUAUAAAUCAAGUAUACAAUAUGAAAGAGGUAUAUAACUUAGGUGUGAUAUUGAGAAGCUAUGUUUCUAGUUUAAAUUUGGUCACAAUUUUAUAUUUGAUCUCUUAGAGGAACUCUAGCAGUUGCAUUUUGUCCCAUGGGUAUAUAAUGUUUAAUGGGCAAGGAAUUGUUUGAUUAGUAGUAAAGGGCCAUAAAUGUUUAACCUUCUUAUUCUUUUAACUUUGGUAGCUAAACAUCUAGUAAAACUUUGGUAACUAAACAUCUAGUAAAAAAUGUUGAAGUGGAAUCUAAGAGUGAUAUUAAGAAGCUAUGUUUUCUGGUUUACAUUGGUUGCAGUUUUAUACUCGAUCUCUCUCUAGCAGUGGUCGUUUUACAUUGGUGAGUGGAACAAAUAACAAAUAAUUACACAGUAAACCUAACUUGCUCCAGCAACCACUAAUCUUGCCCAUUUAAUUUUUUUCAAACACAACGUUUGCAAUCCAUUCAAAGAAAAAUUGUGGUCAAUUAAAGCUCUCAGUGUCUUGACCAAGGACGGAAAAAUGAGAUUCAGAAAAUUAAUACUCAAAACUCAUCUAAUGAGAUUCAGAAAAUAAGCACACUCUAGCGUCAAAAUUAAUUAAUAAGAAGUUUAAAAGUUAACUUCUUAAAAAUUAGUGGAUUGUGAUAGAUUGAAAUAGGAUUUGUGUAAGUACCUUCUCAAUUUCUAUCAACCAAACAGUUCUAGCUCUGUAGUAUAUGAAAAACGAUUUUUCAUUGUCUGGAGUCUUGCUUAUUUUUUUAUUGUUUCUCUAAUGUCCUUUUCAUUUUGGUUGUACAGUGAAAUAUGGUUGCUUUUGGAAAGAAGUUGAAGGAAAGACAGAUCCAAGAAUGGUAAGGGUAUGCUAAUAUUCCAUUAUAGACCUAGUUGUUGUAUACUUUCUUUCAUUUAAACUUGCUGGAAACUAGACCAUGCAUUUUCUUUUGGUGGUUAAUGUUUGACUACGGAGGAUAAUUUUCAUGAAAGCAUGUCAACUGCUUUUCAACCUUACUAUAUUUGAGAGUAUCAUUUCCACUUUUUCAGUGCUUAUACAGCUUAAACGAGUGACAUCUAGAGAAACUGUAAUAUCUAUUGUAUUAUAGUUGAGCAGAAACUCUGUUAAGAGGAAAAAAAAUAACAGUUAAACCAUUGGCAUCAAACAUAAAUAAAUCUAGCACUCAGUUAACAGUACUUCUAAAAUAUUAAGUUUGUUGUCAUGGAAAGACUCUAAGAAAAAAUAAAAAGACUAACUUUUAUGAUUACUUAUUGCAAAACAAUCAGCAUCUACAGAAAUUUGAGUUACACAGUCAUAUCUAGUUGUGAAAACAUAAUACACCAAAAUAUGGUGCCCAAAUCACUGGUUUCAAAAGCACUAACUUGAUAGCACCUCUACUUAAUACACAAGUCCAGUUGUUGCAAUAUUAUACAAUAAAAUUCAACUAGGUAAAUAUGCAAAAAAGAGAAAAAUAAUUAAGAGACAACUGUAAAAGUACCCCAGACGACUCUUCUAACCGAAUUAAAACUCUAUCAGCUUGAGGCACAACCUAAAUUCAAAACAAACAAAAUAAGUAUGCAAGCUACCAUUUCUUAAUAUUCCUACUUCAGAUGUAACACAUAACAAAAUUAUUCACAUUGACUUAAAUAAGCAUAAAAGCAGUCACCUUUGUGGGUUCCCAUUUCUUGGAAAUUGCAUUAAGAAAAACUCACAUGAAGUACUUUCUUCCACGGUACUGGUUUAUAGUUCGAAAACUUAAUAAUUAAUGAUUUUUGAAGGAAGCCCCUAUAGUUAUUAAUAAUAGAGUAAAAAAGUUACGACUCUUUCAAGUAUGCAGUUACUCUGGUGUAGCUUAAUAUAUUAUCUCAGACAACAACAAGGCAUACAACAUACAUCUUAGUUGAGAAUAUUCAGUUCUCCAAUCGGAAACUGCGAAAACAUGAUAAAACACAAAGUAGUCAUUUUUCCAACCCUCUUACAUGACAGAGUUAUGUUUAAAAAUGACUCUUCAUCGACAUAUCAUUUCUUCUGUGCUGGUUGCGAAUAUUGUAAAAAUGAGAUAGAGAAAUUUGUUAGGAGUUCAAUUAGCCUAUUAUUAAACUCAUAGAAGAUGGAUUUUCAGCUAAACUAUUUUCUCAGCAGAUCAAAACUAAACAUAUAGGCCACUUUAGAGAAGCCAUUCUCUAUGUACCACAGAAUUGAAAGCAUUAGUUAAAAGUGUGACAGCAAGCCAUAUCUAGGAAUCCAAACUAUGGAAGUUUCAAUGCUAUUAAACACAGAACCCAAAAGACUACAGCAUGAAUUAAGAACCUUUUUGCCAAGAACUAAAAAAAAUACAGUAAAAAUGUAUAUCAAUGGUAACAAAAAUAGUAAAAAUGACCAAAAGAAUUAAGAAAAUUACCAGGCUAUGGUGAUUUUGGGCUUCUCUGGUUCGAGCACAAAUCUGAUUUUAGAAUUUGUGGAUUUGGGGAAGGCUAGCAACUGUCCUUGAAGAAGUACCAGAGAAGUGCCGGAACUGUUUAGAAUUUGGGGAUUUGGGGUUUUGAGAUUUGAUGAUUAUGGUGGUCUAAUGAAGAGGUAUUUGAUGACACUUGGCCAUUAAUUUGAUGAGGAGCAAGGCUAGAAUUUCUAUACCGUUGUUUGUGAAUCUUAGGCUUGAUACAAUCAUUGGUCCUUUCCCGCAAGUUCUGGAAAAUGGAGAGAAACCAGUAUAUAAACAAGUUCUGUUUUCCGACUAUCGGGAUUAUUUUUGCUAAAAAAAGAGAUUAGAGAGGGGAGUUUGGGUGUAUCAACAAUGGGAGCUGAGUUAGGAUGUAUCGAUUAUGGGGGAUAUAGUACUAGAGAUACACUGGAGGUGGAGGGGUUUAUUGUAUUUACGUUAUUAAAAUUAAUUAAAAAAUAUAAAAUGACCGAUCACUUAAUUAGUUUGGCGGGCCAGCAAAUUUUCGGUGAAAAAAUGAGAGGGAA
rnacentral:lncRNA from 1 species